GGGAGAGGGGGUGGCGGAUGCAGCCCGGGUAGGGCCAGGAGACCGGUCCACGUUUGCAAACGCAGCCGCACGCCCAGGCCGACCCGUGCCGCCCGAGCGCCGCGCUGCGUCCGCGCCACUCUUCUCGCCGCCCCGAUGGCGUUCCGGGGCUGGAGGCCCCCGCCGCCACCGCUGCUCCUGCUGCUGCUCUGGGUGACCGGGCAGGCAGCGCCCGUGGCGGGCCUGGGCUCCGACGCGGAGCUGCAGAUCGAGCGGCGCUUCGUGCCCGACGAGUGCCCGCGCACCGUGCGCAGCGGCGACUUCGUGCGCUACCACUACGUGGGGACGUUCCCCGACGGCCAGAAGUUCGACUCCAGCUAUGACAGAGACUCCACUUUCAACGUGUUUGUGGGAAAAGGACAGCUGAUCACAGGGAUGGACCAGGCUCUUGUUGGGAUGUGCGUAAACGAGAGACGUUUCGUGAAGAUUCCCCCAAAGCUUGCCUACGGAAGUGAAGGAGUUUCUGGUGUGAUCCCCCCCAAUUCAGUGCUUCAUUUUGAUGUACUUCUGAUGGAUAUUUGGAAUUCUGAAGACCAGGUUCAGAUUCACACCUAUUUCAAGCCCCCGAGUUGCCCUCGGACCAUCCAGGUGUCUGAUUUUGUGAGGUACCACUACAACGGGACGUUCCUGGACGGAACUCUGUUUGAUUCGAGUCACAAUCGCAUGAAAACAUAUGACACGUAUGUGGGAAUUGGCUGGCUGAUUCCUGGAAUGGAUAAAGGGCUGCUGGGGAUGUGUGUGGGUGAGAAGCGCAUCAUCACCAUUCCUCCUUUUCUGGCCUAUGGAGAGGAUGGAGAUGGGAAAGACAUUCCCGGUCAGGCAUCUCUGGUGUUUGAUGUUGCAUUAUUGGACCUCCAUAACCCCAAGGACAGCAUUUCCAUUGAGAACAAGGUAGUACCUGAAAACUGUGAGCGGAUAAGUCAAAGUGGGGACUUUCUCAGGUAUCAUUACAAUGGCACGCUUCUGGAUGGCACCCUCUUUGAUUCCAGCUACUCUCGGAACCGCACGUUUGACACGUACAUUGGGCAGGGCUACGUGAUUCCUGGGAUGGAUGAAGGUCUACUUGGUGUUUGCAUUGGAGAAAAGCGAAGGAUUGUGGUCCCCCCUCACCUGGGGUAUGGAGAGGAAGGAAGAGGUGAGCAUCAGCAUCACCUGCCUUCCUCACUAGCUGUGGCUGCUUCCACAUUGCUUGGAAAAGGGCUUCUUUUUCUUUUUCUUCUUUCUUUUUGAGAUAGGGUCUCCCUCUGUCGAACAGGCUGUAAAGUGUAGUGUGUGAUCAUCGUGUACUAUGGCCUGGAACUCUUGGCCUCAAGUGAUCCUCUUGCCUCAGCCUUCAGAGUAGCUGGCACUACAGGCACACACCACCACACCCUGCACAGAGCUUCUUGAGAGCCAAAAUAUUGAAGCUAAAGUCCAGCUUAAGACUGGAAUCCCCAAAUAGAUUUAGUUUCUAGAGUUGUCCUGUUAUUUCUCCUUGUUUCUUCGCCCAUUUUCGUUUACCUUUUGAAA
rnacentral:sRNA from 1 species